AAGAACCUUACCAGGCCUUGACAUGCAGAGAACUUUCCUAGAGAUGGAUUGGUGCCUUCGGGAACUCUGACACAGGUGCUGCAUGGCUGUCGUCAGCUCGUGUCGUGAGAUGCUGGGUUAAGUCCCGUAACGAGCGCAACCCUUGUCCUUAGUUACCAGCACGUUAUGGUGGGCACUCUAAGGAGACUGCCGGUGACAAACCGGAGGAAGGUGGGGAUGACGUCAAGUCAUCAUGGCCCUUACGGCCUGGGCUACACACGUGCUACAAUGGUCGGUACAAAGGGUUGCCAAGCCGCGAGGUGGAGCUAAUCCCAUAAAACCGAUCGUAGUCCGGAUCGCAGUCUGCAACUCGACUGCGUGAAGUCGGAAUCGCUAGUAAUCGUGAAUCAGAAUGUCACGGUGAAUACGUUCCCGGGCCUU
rnacentral:rRNA from 1 species